GAUGAACGCUGGCGGCGUGCCUAAUACAUGCAAGUCGAGCGGUAAGGUUCUCACUCUGUACUUAAAUCAUUUGAGUAUGGUGUGAGAAUACACGAGCGGCGGACGGCAGAGUAACACGUAGGAACGUACCCCAAAGUGAGGGAUAAGCACCGGAAACGGUGUCUAAUACCGCAUAAUCUCUUCGGAGCAAAGCUUCGGCGCUAUGGGAGCGGCCUGCGUAUGAUUAGCUUGUUGGUGAGGUAAUUGCUCACCAAGGCGACGAUCAUUAGCUGGUCUGAGAGGAUGAUCAGCCUGACUGGGACUGAGACACGGCCCAGACUCCUACGGGAGGCAGCAGUAGGGAAUUUUGCGCAAUGGACGAAAGUCUGACGCAGCAACGCCGCGUGCAGGAGGAAGGCCUUCGGGUUGUAAACUGCUUUUAUCUGUGACGAUUAUGACGGUAGCAGAAGAAUAAGGAUCGGCUAACUCCGUGCCAGCAGCCGCGGUCAUACGGAGGAUCCAAGCGUUAUCCGGAAUUACUGGGCGUAAAGAGUUGCGUAGGUGUCUUGUCAGGUCUCUGUUUAAGGCCAAGGCUCAACCUUGGAAAAGAUAGAGAAACCGGCAGGAUGGAGCAUAGUAGAGGUACCUGGAAUUUCUAGUGUAGGAGUGAAAUCCGUAGAUAUUAGAAGGAACACCGAUGGCGUAGGCAGGGUACUGGGCUAUUGCUGACACUAAGGCACGAAAGCGUGGGGAGCGAACGGGAUUAGAUACCCCGGUAGUCCACGCCGUAAACGAUGGAUGCUAGCUGUUAUCAGUAUCGACCCUGGUAGUAGCGAAGCUAACGCGUUAAGCAUCCCGCCUGGGGAGUACGGUCGCAAGAUUAAAACUCAAAGGAAUUGACGGGGUCUCGCACAAGCGGUGGAGCGUGUUGUUUAAUUCGAUGGUAAGCGUAGAACCUUACCAGGGUUUGACAUCUCGGGAAUUUUUCCGAAAGGAAAAAGUGCCUUUUAGGAACCCGAUGACAGGUGAUGCAUGGCCGUCGUCAGCUCGUGUCGUGAGAUGUAUGGUUAAGUCCAUCAACGAGCGCAACCCUUAUGGUUAGUUGGAUUUUUCUAGCCAGACUGCCCCGGUAACGGGGAGGAAGGAGGGGAUGAUGUCAGGUCAGUAUUUCCCUUACACCCUGGGCGACAAACACGCUACAAUGGCCGGUACAAAGGGCAGCCAACCCGCGAGGGGGAGCAAAUCCCAUCAAAGCCGGUCUCAGUUCGGAUUGCAGGCUGAAACUCGCCUGCAUGAAGCUGGAAUCGCUAGUAACGGUAAGUCAGCACAUUACCGUGAAUACGUUCCCGAGACU
rnacentral:rRNA from 1 species